UUUGACAACUCUAGAGAUAGAGUCUUCCCCUUCGGGGGACAAAGUGACAGGUGGUGCAUGGUUGUCGUCAGCUCGUGUCGUGAGAUGUUGGGUUAAGUCCCGCAACGAGCGCAACCCUUAAGCUUAGUUGCCAGCAUUAAGUUGGGCACUCUAAGUUGACUGCCGGUGACAAACCGGAGGAAGGUGGGGAUGACGUCAAAUCAUCAUGCCCCUUAUGAUUUGGGCUACACACGUGCUACAAUGGACAAUACAAAGGGCAGCUAAACCGCGAGGUCAUGCAAAUCCCAUAAAGUUGUUCUCAGUUCGGAUUGUAGUCUGCAACUCGACUACAUGAAGCUGGAAUCGCUAGUAAUCGUAGAUCAGCAUGCUACGGUGAAUACGUUCCCGGGUCUUGUACACACCGCCCGUCACACCACGAGAGUCUGUAACACCCGAAGCCGGUGGAGUAACCAUUUAUGGAGCUAGCCGUCGAAGGUGGGACAAAUGAUUGGGGUGAAGUCGUAACAAGGUAGCCGUAUCGGAA
rnacentral:rRNA from 1 species